rnacentral:rRNA from 1 species
CGGGACACGUGGUAUCCUGUCUGAAUAUGGGGGGACCAUCCUCCAAGGCUAAAUACUCCUGACUGACCGAUAGUGAACCAGUACCGUGAGGGAAAGGCGAAAAGAACCCCGGCGAGGGGAGUGAAAAAGAACCUGAAACCGUGUACGUACAAGCAGUGGGAGCCUCUUUAUGGGGUGACUGCGUACCUUUUGUAUAAUGGGUCAGCGACUUAUAUUCUGUAGCAAGGUUAACCGAAUAGGGGAGCCGAAGGGAAACCGAGUCUUAACUGGGCGUUAAGUUGCAGGGUAUAGACCCGAAACCCGGUGAUCUAGCCAUGGGCAGGUUGAAGGUUGGGUAACACUAACUGGAGGACCGAACCGACUAAUGUUGAAAAAUUAGCGGAUGACUUGUGGCUGGGGGUGAAAGGCCAAUCAAACCGGGAGAUAGCUGGUUCUCCCCGAAAGCUAUUUAGGUAGCGCCUCGUGAAUUCAUCUCCGGGGGUAGAGCACUGUUUCGGCAAGGGGGUCAUCCCGACUUACCAACCCGAUGCAAACUGCGAAUACCGGAGAAUGUUAUCACGGGAGACACACGGCGGGUGCUAACGUCCGUCGUGAAGAGGGAAACAACCCAGACCGCCAGCUAAGGUCCCAAAGUCAUGGUUAAGUGGGAAACGAUGUGGGAAGGCCCAGACAGCCAGGAUGUUGGCUUAGAAGCAGCCAUCAUUUAAAGAAAGCGUAAUAGCUCACUGGUCGAGUCGGCCUGCGCGGAAGAUGUAACGGGGCUAAACCAUGCACCGAAGCUGCGGCAGCGACGCUUAUGCGUUGUUGGGUAGGGGAGCGUUCUGUAAGCCUGCGAAGGUGUGCUGUGAGGCAUGCUGGAGGUAUCAGAAGUGCGAAUGCUGACAUAAGUAACGAUAAAGCGGGUGAAAAGCCCGCUCGCCGGAAGACCAAGGGUUCCUGUCCAACGUUAAUCGGGGCAGGGUGAGUCGACCCCUAAGGCGAGGCCGAAAGGCGUAGUCGAUGGGAAACAGGUUAAUAUUCCUGUACUUGGUGUUACUGCGAAGGGGGGACGGAGAAGGCUAUGUUGGCCGGGCGACGGUUGUCCCGGUUUAAGCGUGUAGGCUGGUUUUCCAGGCAAAUCCGGAAAAUCAAGGCUGAGGCGUGAUGACGAGGCACUACGGUGCUGAAGCAACAAAUGCCCUGCUUCCAGGAAAAGCCUCUAAGCAUCAGGUAACAUCAAAUCGUACCCCAAACCGACACAGGUGGUCAGGUAGAGAAUACCAAGGCGCUUGAGAGAACUCGGGUGAAGGAACUAGGCAAAAUGGUGCCGUAACUUCGGGAGAAGGCACGCUGAUAUGUAGGUGAAGCGACUUGCUCGUGGAGCUGAAAUCAGUCGAAGAUACCAGCUGGCUGCAACUGUUUAUUAAAAACACAGCACUGUGCAAACACGAAAGUGGACGUAUACGGUGUGACGCCUGCCCGGUGCCGGAAGGUUAAUUGAUGGGGUUAGCGGUAACGCGAAGCUCUUGAUCGAAGCCCCGGUAAACGGCGGCCGUAACUAUAACGGUCCUAAGGUAGCGAAAUUCCUUGUCGGGUAAGUUCCGACCUGCACGAAUGGCGUAAUGAUGGCCAGGCUGUCUCCACCCGAGACUCAGUGAAAUUGAACUCGCUGUGAAGAUGCAGUGUACCCGCGGCAAGACGGAAAGACCCCGUGAACCUUUACUAUAGCUUGACACUGAACAUUGAGCCUUGAUGUGUAGGAUAGGUGGGAGGCUUUGAAGUGUGGACGCCAGUCUGCAUGGAGCCGGCCUUGAAAUACCACCCUUUAAUGUUUGAUGUUCUAACGUUGGCCCCUGAUCGGGGUUGCGGACAGUGUCUGGUGGGUAGUUUGACUGGGGCGGUCUCCUCCUAAAGAGUAACGGAGGAGCACGAAGGUUGGCUAAUCCUGGUCGGACAUCAGGAGGUUAGUGCAAUGGCAUAAGCCAGCUUGACUGCGAGCGUGACGGCGCGAGCAGGUGCGAAAGCAGGUCAUAGUGAUCCGGUGGUUCUGAAUGGAAGGGCCAUCGCUCAACGGAUAAAAGGUACUCCGGGGAUAACAGGCUGAUACCGCCCAAGAGUUCAUAUCGACGGCGGUGUUUGGCACCUCGAUGUCGGCUCAUCACAUCCUGGGGCUGAAGUAGGUCCCAAGGGUAUGGCUGUUCGCCAUUUAAAGUGGUACGCGAGCUGGGUUUAGAACGUCGUGAGACAGUUCGGUCCCUAUCUGCCGUGGGCGCUGGAGAACUGAGGGGGGCUGCUCCUAGUACGAGAGGACCGGAGUGGACGCAUCACUGGUGUUCGGGUUGUCAUGCCAAUGGCACUGCCCGGUAGCUAAAUGCGGAAGAGAUAAGUGCUGAAAGCAUCUAAGCACGAAACUUGCCCCGAGAUGAGUUCUCCCUGAG